GGGCGAAGCUGAUGGACGACACCGCGUGAAGGAUGAAGGUCUAACGAUUGUAAACUUCUUUUCUGAGGGAGCAUAAUGAGAGUACCUCAGGAAUAAGGGACGGCUAAAUACGUGCCAGCAGCCGCGGUAAUACGUAUGUCCCAAGCGUUACCCGGAAUUAUUGGGUGUAAAGCGUUUGUAGGCGGUUUUGUAAGUUGGAUAUGAAAGACCGAAGCUCAACUUCGCGUUUGUAUUCAAAACUGUAAAACUAGAAUCAGGGAGAGGUAAGCGGAAUUCUUAGUGUAGGGGUGCAAUCCGUAGAUACUAAGAGGAACACCAAAAGCGAAGGCAGCUUACUGGAACUGUAUUGACGCUCAGAAACGAAAGCGUGGGUAGCGAAAAGGAUUAGAUACCCUUGUAGUCCACGCCCUAAACGAUGAUAACUAAGUGUUGUGACUUGCUCGCAGUGCUGAAGCUAACGCGAUAAGCUAUCCACCUGAGGAGUACGGUCGCAAGAUUAAAACUCAAAGGAAUAGACGGGGACCCACACAAGCAGUGGAUCACGUGGUUUAAUUCGACAAUAAACGGCGAACCUUACCCAGACUUGACAUCUAUCGAAUUCUGCAGAGAUACGGAAGUGCCUUUAUUGGAGCGAUAAGACAGGUGCUGCAUGNUUGUCGUCAGCUCGUGGCUUGAGGUGGUUCGGUAAAUCCGUUAACAAACGCAACCAUGUUCUUAAUUAAUAAGGCCAAAAAGACUGCCCUGGUUUACAAAGGAGAAGGGGGUGGAUGACAUCAAAUCCACCAUGGCCUUUUACUUCUGG
rnacentral:rRNA from 1 species